rnacentral:lncRNA from 1 species
UAGACGCUAUAACAAUUGUUUUUGAAGAGGCAGGGAAGAGUGCUUCCCCUUCUUCGGUACCAAUUGCUUGUAUUGAAGCUGGUAACGAGCACAGUUUGCCCAAUUUAACUCUCAGGAAAGGGGAGGAGCAUUCGUUCAUUGUGAAACCUGCUUUCUCUGUUGGGAGUAAUCUGAAGCCUUCUGCUGCGAGGAAAGAACUCAAGUCAUCGAGUUUGUCUCUUCCUUCUGUAAAUUUUGAAAGACUAGGGAGCGGUUUAAGUGGUGAUCAUUAUGCGGUGAUGGUGUCAUGUCGGUGCAACUACACAGGUAGAUAGAUCCUUGUUGCUGUAGUUUUUAGCCAUGUUUUUGUCUUUCUUGAAUGUUUUAAUUUCUUGCUCCGAUCUGCUUCCUCCGCUACUCACCGCCCUCCGGUGAGCGAACCGCCACCAGCUACCCCGCCUCAGCCUCCUCCUCCCGAAGCAACCAAGCCCGGAUCCACUUUGGAAGGGCUCAUAUCCGAGGAGCCUUUCCCGCAGUAUCCAUCAGUGGAUGAGGAUCAUUUGGGUGAUGGAUCUAGAGACGACCAUGGUAAUGGAGAGGCAAAUGCAAACACUGGUGGCUUUGGGAUGGAGAGGUUCUCAGAUGUGUCUGAGGAUGAAGGAUGGAUCUCUAUUCCAUAUAGUAUGACAUCUAACUUUGAACCUUCUUCUCUACUUAAUCUAAUGUGUUGGUUAUCUCUUUUUUAUUACAGAGGAGAUUCCGGAUAACUGGUCUGAGUCUGUUGAUAUUGAGUCACUACGUUCUCUAGAUCGCUCCUUUGUGUUUCCUGGUAGGUAGACGCACUGUUUCUCACAUUGUUUAAAACUGUUGUAACAUGAGAGACAUUUGUUUCUACUUAUAGGGGAGCAGAUUCAGAUCCUUGCGUGCUUAUCUGAAAGCAAAGGAGACGCAGAGAUCAUCACCCCUUUUAAAGUAGCUGAGGUGAUGAGCAGAGCUGUACAGAGAAAGCUCUCUGACAAUGGGACGAGUACACCGUCAGGAGAUGGAGAAACAAGCCCUGAUGGUCAGUUUGCAGCUCAGAACGGUGACAGUCCUGGGAAAGAGAGUUCGGAUUCGCAAAAGGAUGUAUCUGAUGGCGAAUCGAUCUUGAGGAUGGAAGAUCAUCAGAGAAGAACAGAGGACUUGCUUUCAAAGUUUCAGAAGUCUCAUUUCUUCGUUAGGAUUGCAGAGUCCGGCGAGCCGCUUUGGUCAAAGAAAAGCUCUCUGGUGGGAGAUAGAGAGUUAGACAAGAAGAGACCUUGUGUUAGUGCUUUUGUAGAUAGAGGAGAGUUCGAUCCUAAUGUUGCUGGAGGUGUAGCUAGAAGUAAGGCUAAAUGCAUUGCCUUACCCAAUGGAGACAUAGUGGUAUGUGAUUGUAACUCUUAUUAAGUUGUUGUUUUGAUUAAAACUUACUGAUUCUCACACAAGAUCUUUGUUUGGAAGGGUGCAGGUCUCUUUACAAGUUUAUAUCGUUGACUGUCCCAAAGAGCCCAUCAUUGAGAUACUUCAGUUUGAGAAGCAUCAGGACGGUAAAGAUAGUGACUCGUAUGGGAACCUUUUGAAGUGGUUGAUACCGUUGGACAACACUAUCUCUCAGCAACCACGUUCUUUACCACCUCCUGUAAGCUCAUCCACCCCAGGAGGUAUCAGCAGCAGCAAUGCACACAAGACAUCACUCUCUUCCGGCUCAGGGUCUCAGCUCUUCUCAUUCGGCCAUUUUAGAAGCUACUCCAUGUCAGCUCUCCCGGCGCCGAACACUGCACCGGUUACUGGACCUGUGAAAACUCAAAGCUCCAAACCAUCGUUUGAUCUUGAAGAUUGGGAUAGUUACUCAGGUCAGACACUAAGGAAGUCUGGGACUGAAGAGCUCUUAUCUUUCCGGGGUGUCCCAUUGGAGAGGGAUAGAUUCUCUGUUCGUUGUGGACUCGAAGGCAUCUGCAUCCCUGGGAGAAGAUGGAGGAGGAAACUUGAAAUUAUUCAACCUAUUGAUAUUAAUUCUUUUGCAGCUGAUUGUAAUACAGAUGAUCUUCUCUGCGUUCAGAUAAAGGUGUGUCUCUGUGUUACUAUGGUCAGUUGAUUUCUUGGAUUCGUCUUAAAAUUAGUCUUUUUGAUUUGCAGAAUGUUGCUCCUACACACACUCCAGAUAUUGUUAUAUACAUAGACGCUAUAACAAUUGUUUUUGAAGAGGCAGGGAAGAGUGCUUCCCCUUCUUCGGUACCAAUUGCUUGUAUUGAAGCUGGUAACGAGCACAGUUUGCCCAAUUUAACUCUCAGGAAAGGGGAGGAGCAUUCGUUCAUUGUGAAACCUGCUUUCUCUGUUGGGAGUAAUCUGAAGCCUUCUGCUGCGAGGAAAGAACUCAAGUCAUCGAGUUUGUCUCUUCCUUCUGUAAAUUUUGAAAGACUAGGGAGCGGUUUAAGUGGUGAUCAUUAUGCGGUGAUGGUGUCAUGUCGGUGCAACUACACAGGUAGAUAGAUCCUUGUUGCUGUAGUUUUUAGCCAUGUUUUUGUCUUUCUUGAAUGUUUUUUGUUGGGUUCAG